rnacentral:rRNA from 1 species
AGUGAACGCUGGCGGUAGGCCUAACACAUGCAAGUCGAACGGCAGCACAGUAAGAGCUUGCUCUUACGGGUGGCGAGUGGCGGACGGGUGAGGCAUACAUCGGAAUCUACUUUUUCGUGGGGGAUAACGUAGGGAAACGUACGCUAAUACCGCAUACGACCUACGGGUGAAAGCAGGGGAGCUUCGGGGCUUGCGCUAUUGAAUGAGCCGGUGUGGGAUUAGCUAGUUGGCGGGGUAAAGGCCCAACAAGGCGACGAUCCGUAGCUGGUCUGAGAGGAUGAUCAGCCACACUGGAACUGAGACACGGUCCAGACUCCUACGGGAGGCAGCAGUGGGGAAUAUUGGACAAUGGGCGCAAGCCUGAUCCAGCCAUACCGCGUGGGUGAAGAAGGCCUUCGGGUUGUAAAGCCCUUUUGUUGGGAAAGAAAAGCAGCAGGUUAAUACCCCGCUGUUCUGACGGUACCCAAAGAAUAAGCACCGGCUAACUUCGUG